UUAAAGAAAAUGGAUGUCAGAUCCAAGGCAAAUGUCAAGAACAUCUCGUCUGACAUCAGUAAAUCCAACAAUGCUGGAAGAAAAGCAAGAGCAGAUGAGAAGCCCAAAGAAGGAAAAGAGGUUCAGUGCUGUGAAUGUGAUGGGUAUGGACACAUCAGGUCUGAAUGUGGGACCUACCUUAAGAAACAGAAGAUGAGUCUUGCUGCCACAUGGCCUGAUGAGAGUGAUACUGAAG
rnacentral:lncRNA from 1 species